rnacentral:lncRNA from 1 species
UCUCCCUCUGUUUUCCAGGCUGCAGCUCCAGGCAAAGAAAUUGGAUUGAUUGAUUGAUUUAUGAGUGUCAAAUGAAGGACACAUAGGCAGACGAGGGGAGAGGGAGCAGGACAGGGAGAGAGAGAGAGAGAGAGAGAGAGAGAGAGAGAAAGGGGAUGGAUGGAUGAAGGCAGGCAGGGAGAGAAGGGGGAAAAAGAAGGAGAAUGGAGGAAUGGAGACAGAGACAAAUGAAAGGAGGGAGACAGAAGGGCGGGAAAAAGUCAGACGCAUGACUGGUGACCUCCGCCUCACUCGGGAACUGAUGCAGUACAUUCAGAACAGCAUUAUCAAAGGCACGGACAUCCAGGUGCUAUUAGCAGUUGCAGAUACAACAGAAACGUGCAAGCCUAGUUAUCAUCACAUGAUCACUGUCUGCAGUCUGCAUGAAGAGCUCCCUCAGUUGCUGUCCACACCACAGGUAAUAGGAUUUGAGAUUGUGAUCAUUAACAAUGUAAUUGCAGUUCUUUCAAUGUGCGAAAACCCCAAAAAAGUGAAAAAGUGGACAAUGGAAAAGUACUGUGAAAUACAGUGUGUCAUAAUUGGCAGAAUAAUUUUGAUUAUAAAUGUUCAAAUAAGUGUUUUAUAUUAUUAGCUUUUUAACAGAAGUUAAAAAAAUUAGACCUUGGAAUAUAUUUACAGAGAUGAGAUUGUCAGUAGUGUUUGUUAGCAAUGUUAGCUUAGCAUUUCUCAUUGUAAAAUAAUAAAAAAAAAAACAAAUUUUUAAGUGAAACA